AUUGAACGCUGGCGGCAGGCCCAACACAUGCCAAUCGAGCGAGCGGCGGACGGGUGAGUAAUGUAUGGGGACUGCCCGAUAGAGGGGGAUAACUACUGGAAACGGUGGCUAAUACCGCAUACUAUCGGAUAACCCAUAUGGGAUUAGCUAGUACGUGGGGUAAAGGCUCACCUAGGCGACGAUCUCUAGCUGGUCUUAGAGGAUGAUCAGCCAAACUGGGACUGAGACACGGCCCAGACUCCUACGGAGGCAGCAGUGGGGAAUAUUGCACAACGGACGCAACCCUGAUGACGCCAUGCCGACUGCAUGAACGAGGCCUUAGGGUCGUAACGUACUCUCAGCGGGGAGGCGUUACCCGCAGAAGAAGCACCGGCUAACUCAGUGCCAGCAGCUGCGGUAAUCC
rnacentral:rRNA from 1 species